rnacentral:rRNA from 1 species
UACAGAGGGUGCAAGCGUUAAUCGGAAUUACUGGGCGUAAAGCGCGCGUAGGCGGCUUGACACGUCGAGUGUGAAAUCCCCGGGCUUAACCUGGGAGCUGCAUUCGAAACUGUCUUGCUAGAGUAUGGGAGAGGGAGGUGGAAUUUCAGGUGUAGCGGUGAAAUGCGUAGAUAUCUGAAGGAACAUCAGUGGCGAAAGCGACCUCCUGGACCAAUACUGACGCUCAGGUGCGAAAGCGUGGGGAGCAAACAGG